ACACACUGAACAGCCUCACCCGCCACAGCCUUGCUCUCAAGCGUUCUGCUUUCCUGCAUCGGCAGAAAUAAGGGGACCAAUUUAUCACACCUGCUGGGUGCCAGAUGAGGUAACUACGGCUUUGGGAUGUUACGCAAUGAGUAAGGCCUUGUGAGUCUUCACAGAAAGGGACUGGCCUGGAGGCUCCGAGCAGUCAGCUAGUUCCCGUCACUGUUCUCCCCGGGAAGCUGUGGAUGGGCAGUGAGCCAGGCAGGGAAAGGCCUCGGAUGGAAUUGCACUCAAGGACGUGUCUGCGUCAAAGCUUUUCUCCAAGUUCGUCUUCAGUUGCUAUUUCUGAAGCCACAUCACACCCUGAGAAACUCCUCCCUUUUCCUCUACCCUGCUUCUCCCCCCGUCUGUCUCCUUCUUGUCACUUUUAGUUGGUUUUGCACGGGAACUCUGAGGCCAUCCCAGCUGCCCUUGUCCGCCCGUGAGAAUCCCCUUCCACAGCGCCUCAAGAGCAGGAUGGAAGUUCCAAGAGUAUGAAUUCAUUUCAUGACAUGUACCUUUUGCAACAUACCCUGCAGCUGCGUGUCUUCAAGGAAUGAUGGGACACUAUGUUUAAGCUCCAGAAAUCGAAGCAGGACUCAAAGAAGCAGGCCAGUUCUGCUCUGCCCCCGAAGGAAAAGGAAAACAAAGAUUCCAACCAUUUGCAGCUCCUGAAAAAUCCCGCUGACAGAUGAUCAGCCUCAUUCCAGGCUAACUAACUGCUAACGAGCUUGAAUUCGCCUAUUCAGGGAAUGUCCUUUGUUCACUUCUCUGCUACCUGAAUUGUCUUCCCACUCUGCCUUCAGACACACUGAGCCAGAAGUUCAGCUCGGGGGCAAGAGACGGCAAAAUGUGAGCCUCGAAUCAUCAGAGAUCACCACAGUGAUGUCUUGAAAUUCAAGGCAAUAUGAGUGUGUUACUGGGCUCAGUAUCAGCCGGUAUUACGAGAAACACUGGGGCAUUUCCAGUGCAGAUUAUUUUAAAUGGGAGAGUUCUUUUUUACUGUCACUUCUCCAUUCUGGUCAUAGAAUGAUUAUUGACCAUUAUUGGGCCCUAACCAUAUUCACAAAACGUGGCUCUCACCCAGUAUUUCCACAUUAUUGCUCUAGAUUGCUUUAAAUGGAAUAUACACACAGUAAUGAGUCAGUUUUAGUGGAAGAGGCUUAUCCUCAAACCUUACAUAACUGCACUGUAGUCUUGACUUUGUUCCUCUCCAGCUACUGGGCUGAAGACAGACAAAACAAUCAGCCAACUCAGUUUAACACCUCCCUCGACCAUGCCUCCCCUUGCCCCGACACACGCCAGAUUAACACUCUUCUCAGGCAUCAUUCAGAACAACGGCUCUCAAUUCUGGCUGCAAACAGAAUCAUCAGGGAGCUUUUUAAAAACAAAAGAAAAAAAAUCAAUACCCAGGCCCUACUCCAAAUCAAUUAAAAUAGAUUUUAGGGGGAUGGGCCUCAGGCAUGGGAAUUUUUAUAAAGCUGCCGUGUUUAUACCGACAUGCGCCAUAAAUGGGAAUCUCUGUUUUAAACUUGACCAAAAUUAAUGAUUAGAGGUUUUGCUUGCACACCAAGCAGGCAAAUUUAAUAUUUAAUAUUUAUAUAAAACUUAAGAUCAUCACUCUUGGAAUCAAAUAAAACCAACAGAAAGGUACAACUAUAUAGUGCAACCAAGUUGCACAGGAAGAGAACAAAAAUAGAGAUACUUGCUCUUUUUUUUUUUUUUUUUUGAGAUGGAGUCUUGUUCUGUCACCAGGCUGGAGUGCAGUGAUGCGAUCUUGGCUCACUGCAACCUCCGCCUGCCAGGUUCAAGGGAUUCUCCUGCCUCAGCCUCUCUAGUAGCUGGGACUACAGGUACGCACCACCACACCUGGCUAAUUUUUGUAUUUUUAGUAGAGACAGGGUUUCACCAUGUUGGCCAGGAUGGUCUCGAUCUCCUGACCUUGUGAUCUGCCAGCCUCAGCCUCCCAAAGUGCUGGGAUUACAGGCAUGAGCCACCGCACCCAGCCAAGAUACUUGUUCUAAUGCCACCUAACUUGGCCAGAUCUUUGGAGGCCCUAAAGCAAUAACAUAGACAAACAACUUCGGACAAAUAAGUUUCCACCGAGUAUGCACAGAUUAAGACUUUAACUCAGGGAUGAGGGAAGUCACAAUAAUGAGCAGGAUCCCAAGGUGUCUGGCUUUGGCAGCCAGUUCUCCCCAGACUGCGUCUUGCUUCAUAUGUGCCCUUUAGGUAAGAGGGCCUAACAGGCUAAUGGGCGCCUAAUGGUAAGUGGGGCUGGACUCAGACUAGAAAUUUGGCAGGACGAUGCCCCGGGAUCUAGGCUGUUCCAUUACUAUUCCCAAAAGGGGAACAAUGCUGAAUAGAGAUCUGAAGUAGAAUCAGCUUGUCCCUGGGACAGGGUAAGGGGAGAGGUGGGGAGUGAGAGGGCUCAAGACAAAUGAUGAUACACCUUGUUCAGAUCUCCUCUUCAAGGUCUCUGCAGACAGAAAAGUGCCAUUCUCGGCAGCCCCCGGGACAGUUCCACGUCAGGCUCAUCCCUCCCUGCACCCACCAUGGCCUAAAACGCAGGUUUGACUGUACUAGGAAUCAGGGAUGUUUGCACUCAGCUACAGUAUAUCUCCACAGCCAUGUGUCAGUGACUUCAGCGUUCCAAAAACCUGGAAAGAAAUCUGCUGUCCAAACAAAUCUGAAAUAUUUGCAAGUCAAAAAAAAAAAAAAAAAAAGACAACACCUGGGUCUGUUUUCUAUAGGAGAGAAAGGGAGCUGUAAAUGUAAUUAGAAGGAGAUAUCUCCUGCAUUCUUUGUUUUUUUAAUUUUAUUAUUAUACUUUAAGUUUUAGGGUACAUGUGCACAACGUGCAGGUUUGUUACAUAUGUACACAUGUGCCAUGUUGGUGUGCUGCACCCAUUAACUCCUCAUUUAGCAUUAGGUAUAUCUCCUAAUGCUAUCCCUCCCCUCUCCCACCACCCCACAACAGUCCCUGGUAUGUGAUGUUCCCCUUCCUGUGUCCAUGUGUUCUCAUUGUUCAAUUCCCACCUAUGAGUGAGAACAUGCGGUGUUUGGUUUUUUGUCCUUGCGAUAGUUUGCUGAGAAUGAUGGUUUCCAGUUUCAUCCAUGUCCCUACAAAGGACAUGAACUCAUCAUUUUUUAUGGCUGCAUAGUGUUCCAUGGUGUAUAUGUGCCACAUUUUCUUAAUCCAGUCUAUCGUUGUUGGACAUUUAGGUUGGUUCCAAGUCUUUGCUAUUGUGAAUAGUGCCAUAAUAAACAUACGUGUGCAUGUGUCUUUAUAGCAGCAUGAUUUAUAAUCCUUUGGGUAUAUACCCAGUAAUGGGAUGGCUGGGUCAAAUGGUAUUUCUAGUUCUAGAUCCCUCAGGAAUCGCCACACUGACUUCCACAAUGGUUGAACUAGUUUACAGUCCCACCAACAGUGUAAAAGUGUUCCUAUUUCUCCACAUCCUCUCCAGCACCUGUUGUUUCCUGACAUUUUAAUGAUCACCAUUCUAACUGGUGUGAGAUGGUAUCUCAUUGUGGUUUUGAUUUGCAUUUCUCUGAUGGCCAGUAAUGAUGAGCAUUUUUUCAUGUGUUUUUUGGCUGCAUAAAUGUCUUCUUUUGAGAAGUGUCUGUUCAUAUCCUUUGCCCACUUUUUGAUGGGGUUGUUUGUUUUUUUUCUUGUAAAUUUGUUUGAGUUCAUUGUAGAUUCUGGAUACUAGCC